rnacentral:tRNA from 2 species
GCGUGUGUCGUAUAACGGCUAUUACCUCAGCCUUCCAAGCUGAUGAUGUGAGUUCGAUUCUCACCACACGCU